UAUUACCGCGGCUGCUGGCACGGAGUUAGCCGGUGCUUCUUCUGCGGGUAACGUCAAUGAGCAAAGGUAUUAACUUUACUCCCUUCCUCCCCGCUGAAAGUACUUUACAACCCGAAGGCCUUCUUCAUACACGCGGCAUGGCUGCAUCAGGCUUGCGCCCAUUGUGCAAUAUUCCCCACUGCUGCCUCCCGUAGGAGUCUGGACCGUGUCUCAGUUCCAGUGUGGCUGGUCAUCCUCUCAGACCAGCUAGGGAUCGUCGCCUAGGUGAGCCGUUACCCCACCUACUAGCUAAUCCCAUCUGGGCACAUCCGAUGGCAAGAGGCCCGAAGGUCCCCCUCUUUGGUCUUGUGACGUUAUGCGGUAUUAGCUAAUCUUUCGACUAGUUAUCCCCCACUACAGGGCACGUUCCGAUGUAUUACUCACCCGUUCGCCACUCGCCAUCAAUCUAGCAAGCUAGAUCAUGCUGCCGUUCGACUUGCAUGUGUAAGGCAUGCCGCCAGCGUUCAAUCUGAGCCAGAAUCAAACUCU
rnacentral:rRNA from 1 species